UAUAUUUGCCCCGCUUAAUAAUAAGCAUACAUAACAAUUAUUAAAUAAUAUUAGCAUG
ncrna:unclassified sequences S15-Flavobacteria ribosomal protein leader